CAGUCGCCACGGUAAUACGGAGGGGGCUAGCGUUGUUCGGAAUUACUGGGCGUAAAGCGCACGUAGGCGGCUGUGUAAGUCAGAGGUGAAAGCCCGGGGCUCAACCCCGGAAUAGCCUUUGAGACUGCAUAGCUUGAACACGGGAGAGGUGAGUGGAAUUCCGAGUGUAGAGGUGAAAUUCGUAGAUAUUCGGAAGAACACCAGUGGCGAAGGCGGCUCACUGGACCGUUGUUGACGCUGAGGUGCGAAAGCGUGGGGAGCAAACAGGAUUAGAGACCCCAGUAGUCCCUGUCUCUUAUAC
rnacentral:rRNA from 1 species